CAGGGGAAAAUAUGGGUCUCGGAACAUAAGACCUACGAGGAAUGAAAAACUCUGAAAGGUGAAACAUAAAGGGAUUUGCUAUUAUUUGCCAAACAUCAGGACAGGCUUUGGAGAAUCAAAGAUGAGUAAAUAAUCAUAAUAUCCCUCAAGAGGCUUCCAUGCCUUUGCUGAGGAUACGAGCAAUAUAUGAAGAUAUUGCUUCAUUUGUUCGAACAAAUAUCUACCAGUAUAUUUGAUGUCCUCUACCUCAGACUUCACGUCCCUCAUGUCACCAAAAACUAGGCCAACGGAAACUAAAAAAGGAGGGAGAAGAAAAAUCUUAGUUCAUUCUAUGAGGGAAGAACAAGUCUCAGGAUGUGAAGUUCAUUUGUCUGUGACCAAGCUGAAUCGGGAAGAGGUAC